UGUGACUUUGGUUACCUGGCAUAACCAUCUUUUCCUCUUAUAUUCCCCUGUGGCCUGCAUGUGUAUACAACACUUGGAUCCUGCAUUUUUAAUGCAAUGGCUUUAUGGAUUGUGCUAACUAUCAUAUAGGCUGGCUUCCCUUGUUUUUGUUUCUUCCUACACUGGUACAUAUACUGGGAAGUAACUUUUGUUGUUGCUGUUUUGAGUGAUUGUCCACACUGAUUCCACUCGGUGACCAGCAAGUAGUUCUCUAGAGACUCCUCUCUCUCCUCCAGCUGAAAGAAUGACUUCAGGACAGCUCUAUUGAAUCUGGCAUCUGAUCUGGAAGCCUGGACCAAGGAGUAAUGGAAGGUUGAAGUGAAGCUUCAGAAAAAAGAUCAGAAGGUGGAUUACUGCCUGAGCUGAACACCUGAAACAUCGGAUGACACCUAAGGAUGGACCAUGUCCAUAUGGAAUAUAGUCAAAGAGGACCCAUCCUGAAGGCUGGCAUAGAAACUGUUGAGGAAUGUGGUCUAUAGGAAGAGACUGCUUGAGAGGUAGAGGAGGAAACGCAGCUGGCUGGUGUUAAGGUCUGUGUAAAAGACUGUUUGUGUGAAUGAGGAAUGCAUGCAUCAGGAAAAGAUAAGGUGUGAAGACCAUUGUUAACCAGAUGGUCAAGAAAGGAGGAGCGAAGACACUUAGAGACUUCUUGAUGCCAGAGAACCAUCAACGCACAUCCAUGAUUGAGGAAGGACAGAUUGACGACCCUGAUGUGGAGGCUGGCACCCCCUAAAGACAAUCGAUGACCCUCUCGGAGGUGUUUUGGAAUGUUAACAUCAAAAGAUAACACCAAUUAAGAAGUAACCGGUCAUAAACUGACACAGCAAAAUCCAUAGACUUCAACAGAGGAAAAAAACCUGACUAUAAGAACAGGGUGCUUUGCCAUGGGACCUCGGGUUCGUCUUGCCACUACUCCAGGAGCACCGGAUUGCGACUGACAGAGCCCGGCUCCCCUCUGUGACCAAUCUGGCUGGCCACUAGAUUGAUCCAGACUCUGGGCUGGUAACUAUAAACAUAGGCUGGCGGGACUGUGUGCAUGGUGUGUGUGGGUGUGUGUGACUGAAAAGUAUAUGCUAACUGCUGUAUUCUCAAUAAAUGUGGCGUUUUGCCUUCUCCCCUAUAAAAGAUCGUGUGUGCUUUGUAUAGCAUGACACAAUGCCUAGCAGAAUGGGGUCUAUAGUAACUUUGCAGGAAUUUCAAAGAGGAGCUAUUUUAACUUUAAUCUAGAAGAGGA